rnacentral:rRNA from 1 species
GAUGAACGCUGGCAGCGUGCCUAAUACAUGCAAGUCGAGCGAACGGACGAGAAGCUUGCUUCUCUGAUGUUAGCGGCGGACGGGUGAGUAACACGUGGAUAACCUACCUAUAAGACUGGGAUAACUUCGGGAAACCGUAGCUAAUACCGGAUAAUAUUUUGAACCGCAUGGUUCAAAAGUGAAAGACGGUCUUGCUGUCACUUAUAGAUGGAUCCGCGCUGCAUUAGCUAGUUGGUAAGGUAACGGCUUACCAAGGCAACGAUGCAUAGCCGACCUGAGAGGGUGAUCGCCCACACUGGAACUGGGCCACGCUCCAGACUCCUACGGGAGGCAGCAGUAGGGAAUCUUCCGCAAUGGGCGAAAGCCUGACGGAGCAACGCCGCGUGAGUGAUGGAGGUCUUCGGAUCGUAAAACUCUGUUAUUAGGGAAGAACAUAUGUGUAAGUAACUGUGCACAUCUUGACGGUACCUAAUCAGAAAGCCACGGCUAACUACGUG